GGGUUAGUGGCGCACGGGUGCGUAACGCGUAUGCAACCUACCUUCCACUGGGGGAUAGCCCACCGAAAGGUGGAUUAAUACCGCAUAAGACCACACUCCGGCAUCGGAGAGUGCUCAAAGCUGAGGCGGUGGAAGAUGGGCAUGCGUGCCAUUAGCUAGUUGGCGGGGUAAAGGCCCACCAAGGCGACGAUGGCUAGGGGUUCUGAGAGGAUGGUCCCCCACACUGGUACUGAGACACGGACCAGACUCCUACGGGAGGCAGCAGUAGGGAAUAUUGGGCAAUGGCCGAGAGGCUGACCCAGCCAUGCCGCGUGCAGGAAGAAGGCCUUCUGGGUUGUAAACUGCUUUUAUCGGGGAAGAAAACGCUCCUGCGGGAGUAACUGACGGUACCCGAUGAAUAAGCACCGGCUAACUCCGUGCCA
rnacentral:rRNA from 1 species